rnacentral:rRNA from 1 species
CGAAAGCCUGACGGAGCAACGCCGCGUGAGGGAAGAAGGCUCUUGGGCUGUCAACCACUUUUCUCAGGGAAGAAGUCCUGACGGUACCUGAGGAAUCAGCCUCGGCUAACUCCGUGCCAGCAGCCGCGGUAAUACGGAGGAGGCAAGCGUUAUCCGGAAUUAUUGGGCGUAAAGCGUCCGCAGGCGGUUAUUUAAGUCUGCUGUCAAAGCGUGGGGCUUAACUCCAUAGAGGCAGUGGAAACUGAGUGACUAGAGUGCGGUAGGGGUCGAGGGAAUUCCCAGUGUAGCGGUGAAAUGCGUAGAUAUUGGGAAGAACACCAGUGGCGAAAGCGCUCGACUGGGCCUGCACUGUUUACUGGGACGAAAGCUAGGGGAGCG